UCUCUACAAUAGUUUCUUUGUAAGUACUGGUGCCUCUUUUCUAUCUUCUCCUUUCCAUUCAACUCACAGGUUCAGUAAAACCUGAUUCCCACAACACAGCUUGAACUUAAGAUAAGCUCGACUCUGCCUUGUAAUAUAGACUUUGUAACAUCUAGACUCCAAACAAUAGUAACUGAAUUCUCAAGUGACUGUCUAACCACCAGAUAAUAUUGGGAUGUUUUGAGCAGCGUAUACUAAAAGUUUUCAGGAAAGCAUUGCCUGGAAAAAAAAUCUUUGGACAUACUGAGCUUUUUCUAGUUCAGACUAAUGUCUAAGUUACUAUUAAACUAUUCUCAUUUAGAAUUCAUUUAUUAUCAAGAAAUGGUAUCCAAGUAGCUAGAGCCAAACAUCCCCACCAAUGACAGUAUACCUAAAGAUAGGGACAAGUCUCCAAGGUGGUGACCUCAAUUCUCUGGCCUUAAAAAUGGUACCUAUUUAGACUUCCCUGACAUUAUGUAACUCAACCACAUGUCCCUGGCAUCCUCAGCUCUCAUUUCAAGGGCUAAUUGGCUUGUUUCCUUGUGUUUCUUAUACUCAAAAGAAAAGCAUCCUCUUUGAGUCUCAAUGUCCCAAUGUCCCAACCGCAGAACAAGGCAUUCUACCCUCACCAUUUGUCAUGGCACAAGCAACCAAAUGUCACCUCAGUAAAUAUUAAUGGAAAUGAAUUGACUAAAGAAAACCAAAACCCCAUGGGACAUAUGGAAUUACACCGGACUCUACAAACAAUAGGGUGAUAAUGGUAAUAACCUACGUUUGAGGGGAGUCGUUCAGGGAACUGAAAACAUCUUACAAUUAACUGCCAUGUCAGGGCUAAAUUUAUUGGUGGAUAAUUGGAUCCAGCUUUAACCAAACUGAGACUGGACAGUACUGCUCUUACCCAGUGACAAACUAUUGUUUUCAACACCGAAUAAGCUAUUCCCCACAUUCUCUGUCAACAGGAAAAUACAUCAGCUUCAGUUAUGAACUCUGUUGAGCCAGUACAAGAUUAUCUCAAAAACAUUGCUACUAAGAACUAAUCUUCCCAAAAUAUGGGGAGAUCACAUCUCUCUCUCCCUCUUAUUUUUCUUUUUAAGAGUAACAAUGGUUCGAGCUGGAGGGCUGUAUUCCACAGUGGACUCCAAGCAUCUUUCUCAAUGCCAAGGACACUGAAUUCAUCCCUGUAUUUGGUCCUGAGGAAAGCUGUGGGAAAUGCUAAAGCUUAAAGGUCCUCAAGAGUGCAAAUCAUGUGAUUCUAUUAUGGUGUCAUAUAAGAAGGACAAAAUACCAACAUAAUAAUGAUACAAAGGAUAAAAUUCCAACAUGCCUGCUUCAGAGGAGCAUUUAGCAAAUCAGCAUAGAUGGCAAACAGAACUAACAGAUCAGAGCAUCGAUGGGGAAUUCAAGAACUUAUCCAUGCAACAUCUUUCAGUCCAUGUAUCUAACUGGAUAUUGCAUCUGAAACCUGAAGAAGCCAAUCUGGAAAUGUUCAACUUCCCAUGAUGACUUGAUUCAAGCUCUGAAUGUAUCCCUGUCUUCCACAGGAGUACCUCUGCAUAUCUAGAAGUUAAGCAUCAUAGAAAAGGGAAACUAGGAACUCCUAGUCAAGUUCUAACUCAAACCUUGGAGAAGAUAUGACUGUCUAAACUGGAACUCCGAGACAGUCAUGGUUAUGUUGAGAAUGAUAACAGCUUUUUGAAUGUUGACACUUCAAAUGAAUGCACAGUGCUAAGUGAUUUGCAAGUGUUUCUUUAUUUAAACAUUGUAGCACUUAAAGAAUAGUACUAUUUGCCAUGAGGAAAGGAAUUAUCCUUUCUAUUUGAGGGGACACAUGCAUACACAUGCACAUUAUGGAUUGAAGUGAUAAAGAAUGUCAUUAUAAAACUCAGAGAAUGCAAAGACUUCUGAAAAUUUUUAAAACUGAAAUUCUGAAAAAUUCUCUAAAAUGCUCAUUUGAAUAGAGAACAAUAUCUCUUCAAAAUACCAAUAAUUGAGGAAGUAAUGAAAUUAUAUGAAGUACUGGUAUUGUGAUGUAGUGAUAUCAUGAUAUGCUCACAGAAAAAAUAAUAACAUAAAGCAGUAACAUAUUAUAAACAGAUCUAGAGACAAAAUCAUAUAAUUGCACUGCAGAACAAUUUUAACAUGGAGAAGAAAUUGCAGCAGUUCUCCUAGAAUUCAAACAAAAAUUGAAAUCAUACGAAAAAGAUUUCAAAAUACACAAUAAGGAAAAAAUUUAAAAACAGGCAAAAAAUUAUACUUAAGAGAAACUCCCUCAAGAAGUAGAAAAAACAGAAGUACAAAUUAUGUUGAUAAACAUCUCAUUUCAAGAAAAUCAGCUGCAAGAUAAUGAAUACAGGUGCUGUUGUAAGAAAUGUAUAACCACUAUGACAAAAUUUUAAACAUUAUAUGUUUAUACACAGAAAAAAAUCUAUUUUCACACAAAGAAAUAAAAAUCUGACUGACUUCAUACUCUGUAAUCCUAAAUGCUAAGCAUAUGUGUGCACAAAUGCAUGCACGUGUGUGCACGCAUACACACACAAACACACACACACACGGGUCUCCCCAUUCUCGUGGAUCAUCAGCUGAUUUAGUCUGCAAUGGCAAGGGGAGCAGGGAUGUCAAACAGGGGCUUCGGAAGCCAUGUGAGUACUUACAGUGAAUGACCACACCUAGACCUAGUCUUAUCAGUAGGCAGAUCUACUUAGGGUAAUUCAAGGCUUAUAAAGUUUUGGAUGACUGAGGGUAAGGACAUCCAGGAUGGGCAAAAGUCAUUGGCUGGGGGCUUAGGGUACCUGGAAUUCCUCAUUAGCAUGGGGAAGCAUAUCAGGAAUCUCAAAUGCUGACUGAAUAGGUUUUGUCAGGAGAAAGGAAGUUGGUCCUAUAAACGAAUUUAGGGUACAUGACAUUCCUCAGGUAGAGGUUGAGUAUGGGACCUUAGAAUUUCUUGGACAAGGUCAGAGAAGGAGAAGCUCGGCCAAAGAAGGUAGUCUCUCAUAUUACACAGAAUCUGAAUGCUAUCCAUGGUGGACUUCAACCUUAAUUAGCAGAGUUCACACACACACACACACACACACACACACACACACACCACAACAGCAACAACAAUGAAGCAAUGACUAUGGCAAUUUGAGGAGGACUGAGUAGUAUACCGAUACUAUUAUACCCAGCUAAGUCAUCUUAUUUGAAUGAUGAGAAAGGGAAGAAGUCUGAAGGUAAGACCAAUCUAUCAUGUCUGCCCUUCUUUUAAAACAAUAGUUAAAUUUUAGGAAUCCAGCAUUGCAGAAGAUCUCAACACUGUUGCAUGCCUGUUCAUUCAGAGAACCAUACUUGAUCUCAUGACCUGCCAGAAAUGCUCAGAACUGCUGGAAUAAUGUUUCUGUCAGUGUAGAUAAGGCUAGAAAGUUUCCUGAGGGCUGGGGGUGGAGCUCAAUGGUAAGUGACUGCAUUACAAUGUGGGACACCCUAGGUUCCAUCCCCAAAACUACUCACAAAAAAAAAAAUUAGAAUGAGCUGACACUUUUUAAUUAUUCAGAUUGAAAAGACAUCAUUUUAGAAAAAAAUUUUCAAAAGUCUAAAUGUGUACUACAUAUCAAUGUGGGAUUAAAUAGCCACCUAUUUCCAAUUUUAAAGACUCUGUGAAAAAAAAAUUAGUAGUGCUAUUUAGUGGAUAUAGUGGGUAGGAUACUUUCCCAUCUUAUGCACCACAUUUUAAAGGGCCUCAUAUUAAUUAAUAAAAACUGAACUGUUUAAAAGAGGAAAUAACAUGUUCAGAUUUAUCUCAUUUCUGCUAAAGGGACUGGUAUUUCCAGCUUUACUUUGCAGGCUUACAGAUUUCCAAGUGUCUAUUUUAGAGAAAUAGGACACCGCUUCCAGCAAGUUCUCUGCACACUGCCUGUGCUGAGCAGGUCGCCUAGGAGAUCUCUGGGUUCCAAACCUCAGCCAAACUGAUGUUACCCAGACAAUUCCACCAGUCACCUUGUUCUGGGCAGCUAGUCUGAUCAUCUGGGUGAAUUUCAGAAGUUGAAAGGCAAUGAUUUGUUUUAAAUAAUUUUUCCUAAUUAUAAAAAUUAACUAGUCUUUUAUCAUAGAAUUUAGAGAACUAUAAAAUUUAUCGGAGAAACAGAAAUUUUCUCAUAACGGGGAUUCUGAGUCAUGACCCUCCCCCAUCCCUCCUUCCUUCAAUUCUAAGACUUCUGAGAAUAGAAUCAUUUAAAGGC
rnacentral:lncRNA from 1 species